CACUAUUUUUAAGGUCCCUGACAACACAAGCCAUGCUAUGACUCUAGGGUCAGCUACUCCUGCCAGCACUCCUCAGGGCACAGCCUCUCCCUGGGUGCCCCACCCUGCAGCACUGCUUGUACAGAAGAUCAAAGGUCCUUCCACCCUACUGGAGUUUUCUCCUAGUAAGUGCCGACCAUACUGAUACCGUAAAUCGGUCAAUGAAGAAGCUCAGGCUCAAGUCGGAGUGUUAAGCUGCAGGCAUUCUUUAUUUUCAGCCCCAGAUGCACGAGGGGAUCCUUCCACCUCAUCAUGUGUACAAAAGAUCUUCAGCUUGUGUACACCACUUGUGUUACACACACAAAGACUUUCCCAGGCAGUACAUACAUAUUCAAUACUUUCCCUAAUACCAUUUACAUUGGCUUCCGCCUCCUUGCACACGCUCCAUCUCUUUGUGGCAGUGGUCCUGAGACCCUCUGGAUGAAGUCAGCUGUCUUCCUCACUGAGACCGCUGGUUGGACCCAGUCUCCACUCAUGCUCAGUCAGCUCUGUGCCUUGAUGGCACAGUACUUGCAUCCACAAAGCUGGCUGACUCAACCAAACCUCCUUAUCCACCUGGUAUCCAGGGGUCAGUACAUCAUCCAUUCACUAAAUCCAUAUACUGGUCCUUAAGCUUACAUAUUGAUCCCAAUUGGUAAUCCAGACCGUAUCACUAUGUGUCGCAGGACUCCUCCUGCUUUCUAAGCAGACUACAGGACUGCCCAUCCACGAGCAUUAGCAAGCUUAGCAGUAUCUCUACAUCUUGUAUCAGUGCCUAGAGGACGAGGGAUUCAGGCCUGGAAAGAUGUACUGAAAAACGUCAUUCCCCGGAUGUGGAUCCUGUAAGAGGUCGCUUUGUCAUAAAUAUCGCCAGCAGCGCUCACGCUGUAGCAAGCGUUUUUUCUACAGAGAAGCUCCGUCCGUCCGCGAUGCAAACACGCCGCCUCUACCCAGCAACAUUCCCACACCCAACAUGGCUCCUCAAUGGCUUCACCCGCUCUUCAGCGCCGCCCUCCAGCACGGCAGCGCACCUCCCCACCGGUUCGGAUCUGCUGUGCCCUUUCUCAAAAUGGCGGCCGCCAGCUUCACCCCGUGUCUGCCGGGCGAGGAGUGAGACGCCUUUCCCUAGAGUAAAAUGGCAGCGAGGAGGGCUCGCGCACCGCACCGCCCCGCCCGGGUGACAGCCAGGUCGUCCGGUCACGUGACAGGAUGUGAGGGGAUGGAGCGGUGCCGGGCUUUGUCCGCCGCUCGUGGCUAUGCUGUGUGCUCGGUUCCCGCUUGGUUCCGUGGCUCUUCGGGAUCAGUGGGGGACGAUGCCGGCCGCAUUUAGAUUCCUUGUGAGGUGCCCUGAGAUACCAUGUUGGAGAUGGCGGCUGUGCCCUGCUGCUCCGUUGUCUGCUUCCGUGCACAGCUUGUGACCAUCGUGUGCUGGGACACCUGUGCCAAAUUUUGUUGCCUCUUUACACAUCCUCCAAGUAGAGGUUGUAGGUGAUGGACAACCGACAGAUGGCACCAGGCCCUCCCAUACGCUCUAUGAAAAUGAUGAGAAUGACUUCCAAGGCUGUGAGUGGUGGCUGAUGAGAAGCUAAGAAGAGGAACCUCAAAGUUAAACUGAUUGGUAAACUAAUCCAAGCCUUUGGGUUUAUGUGCUUUUUUUUCUAACUAAUAUGUCUGACCCUUAGUUAUUUUGAUGGACCAGUGUUUUUAUGUUGCACUGCACAAGGUAGAGAAUCUCUAGGAUUUGGUACACUUAAAUUGAUGCUUCUUUCAAACAGACUGUUUUUGCUUUUCUGUAGGUGCAUUACGUUCUGGGCAGUGGCUUUUUAAUGAUUUGCUCGUGUCAAGUGACAUUAAUGCUUAGACAUAAUCAUAGUGAUGAAUAUAAACGAUUUAUUAUGAGGGCUGCAUUUCUGAAUGAGUGUUCAACACAGCAUGAGUGUUCUUUUCAGCAAGACUACAGGCAGCACGCUUAAGAAUGAGAGAAACAAGCGUCUGCCUUGAAUUUUCAUACAGAAUUUUUCCCUGGAGGACUGAUAAAACGAAUCAGAGCAAUUUCCUUUGGCAAACUAAAACUGUGGAGUUCGGUAAUGAUUGUGAAAGAUUUAUUUGUGUAUAUAUGCGAUUACGUUAUGUUUCAACACAUACUGAUUUCUUGAAAUGGAUUUUACUUUUUGCUUUGUAGAUGUGGCAUGAAAGGGCAUUUCACAGGAAAUGGAUCAAGAUUUGUCUAAUAUUUUUUUUCUCAAAAGUGAAAGUUUCUUUGUUAUCACAUGUGAUUUGCUUGUCUGAUUUUUCUCUGGAACAGAGAGUCUAGAACUGUGAGUCUGGUCUGGUGGUUGGCAACCAUACCCAUGAUGGUCUUUGAAACUAGAUGAUCUUUGAGGUCCUUUUCAACCCAGGCCAUUCUAUGAUUCACUUACUGACUUCUAGUGGUAGUUGCAGGCAUGAAACACUAACAGGAUCAGACCCUUAGAUAUUUUUUUUUAUAUCUGAAACUGUUAUUUGAACCUUGUAAGUCAGUGUAUGCUAAAUAUACUCAGCAUUUUAAUGAAAGCUGCAGUUGAAUCAUACAAAUUCAUCUUGUUAUUGGCUGGAAAAUACCUUAUUUUAUAAGUCAAAGAUCUAGGAUUCCUUAAAAUUCUCAAGUAAGUUCCAGUGGGUAUAAUGGCCCUAAAUUAUUCAUAUACAGCUCCAGGUUUUUAUUACGUUUUCUGAUUUACCUUUUUCAUAAAGUAGGAGCUCUGUAUUUUAACUGUGCAUAAGUCAAUACCUCAUUGAGAACACGAGUUGGAGAGAGAUGUUAUUUCACAUUAGGUAAUGCUAAGCUAUCACUGUUUCCUUCCCUGCAUGUCUCUCUUUGGGAGCUUUCUUCUGUUUGAGUUAUGUCACGCUGAAUUGGAACCUUAAGUAUGAGUUCUAUAUUCAUUUCCUUGUUGUUGCUUUGAGGCUAAGAAGCAGUCGCAGUAAGAGAGUUAAGAAAGUAAGAGUUAAAGUAAAGUAAGAGUUAGGCUGAGUGUGAGGAAAACUGCUGUUUUUUUUUUUUGUUGUUCCCUGUGCACAACUUAGCAGAAAUUGGAUCUCUUCUGCUUCAGCUUAGUCAGUCAGUGGCUAUUAGAAAAGUUCUUCUAGUUUUUGUUCUGCUGUGGAGAACAGGUGGAAGCAAUUCACUUUCCUGACCAAGGGGUGCAGGCUGGUUCCACCCUUUCCUAACCUCAUUUAAGGGCUGGCUGCCUCCAGGGAAGGAGCUCUGCUUGGAGGUCUGCCCUUUUGUAGUGUUUUGUGUGUCCUGUUCCUCAGAAAGGGGUAAGUAGUUCUGUGGUUAUUUACUAGGUUGAGUCCUCUGUGUUUCUUGGGUAAUUUAAAGCUGUGUCUGCUAAUGUCUAUGUCUGCAGUUGCUGCCCCAUGGAGGCCCCUCUUGGUUGACAAUGGCAGUUGGUAUCUGUGGGGUGAGAGGAGUCUGUGUAGAAGCGGUGGUACUUAGGAGGAAGACACCAUUUGUCUUUAUGCUUUAUAGGUACAAUCAGAUCAGAAAGCAUUGUGCUUUAUGGCACAGUUUCCUUGGCCAAAGGAUGCUUUUGCAGCAGAGGUUUGCUGUCAGGAGGCAUUAAAGCUCUGAAGAAAAGGUUGCUGUGCACUGGGCCUGGAGACAUCAGCUCACAGCAUGUCACUGGUGGUGGAUAUCUGCAAGCUUUGUGUCUGUCAAUGACUGCUCUGAAGGCUUUAUAGUCAGCUGUCCAUGGUUGUUUUGCUUUUUAGGGUGGAGGAACAGACGACAACGCACCGAUUGGAGUGAUGGUGUCCUGCUCAGAAAUGGAUGUGCUGGAUGGCAGAAGAGGAUUCUUGGCCAAGUAUGGAAUCAUCUCUGUUCCUUCACGAAGAUUCCUCAUGCUGAAGAAGAGAGAGGUUUUCUGACAACAGAUUCUUGACGAAGAACGAGAAGAAGGUUUCUGACAUGAGAAGCCUCACGACCUGCCUCUCUCUCCUGGACUUUCUCUGCACUCUACGUGACUGCUGCCUAAGCCUGGUUCAAACGCAGUUCCUGACUUCUGCCAGCAGCACGCGCCGUUUAUCUUCCUCGCACUCAGAAACACACGACUUACAACAGAAAUCUCUCUGGAGUUGCAUUAGAGAUGGUGUGACAAACAGGAGGGACAGCACAAGGGCUGUAAAGGAGAAGCAUCCUGACCUUUGAUCCACCUCUGGUGUAUAAGAGCAAAACAUGAAGGGAAGGCAGGAGAUGUACAAUGUGUCCUUCUCCCAGCACAACCUCACCUGAUGCUUUAAAAUCAGAAAUGGAGAACUAGGAGUUUAUUUAUAUCUCUGAGGAUAUGGCAGUAGUCCUGAGAAGAAAGUCAACAAGUGGGUGAGCCUGAGCUACCCUCUGCAGCAAGUGAGUAUCAAGACAAGGACCACAAGAAAUUUAUCUUCUGUCAGCCAACUGAAACGAUGUUAGUUUCUGGGUUGAUCAAGAGAGAUCUGGUCUGUCAGGCGUCUUCAAAACAGCUGGGGGGUGGGGGGGAGAGCACAUUGAAGCAAAGAUCUAGCUACAGAGGCACAAGAAUAGGCUGCUUUUACACUGCUGUGGUUGCAGUUUAUUCUCCGAUUAUAUACAACGUUCCCAAUUGAGUGUUUUGAUUCCAUGUGCCCCUGUACAAUUACUCAAACAAAGCUGGCAAUUGUAGCCCUUAAAAUGCAAGACGUAGUUUUGUUUAAAACUUCAGUAGACCUUUUAUUAGCUGUACAUAGCAGGGAGUGCAAACCCCUUUUUCAUAAUAAAGAAACAGUUCUAUGCAAAAAGCCACAAGAUGUAAAACUACCAAAUAAUUCUUCUCUACCAAAUGAAAAUAUAUGGAAAUUAUAUGCAAUGAUGAGUUAAAAUAGGAACAAUUCAGAAUCUGCUGCUUGAAAUUAAAGGGGUAUGAUGAAACAGAGUUACUAUAUGCCUAAGCCAUUUUCAGAGUGGAAAGGUGGAGAAAUGCAUGGGUGUAUAUUCUGGAUCGCUUAAAUAAAUGUGAAUGAAAACAGUGAGGUUGAAAGAAAAACUUCUGUUGCAAUGCAGCAGUAAGUCAAUAAACAUUCAGUUGUCUCGCGUGUCAAUACAUGGAUUCCCAUGGUACCACAAGGUUACAUAGGGCAUGGAUUUAGUUUCUACCCCUACUGCUGGUGAUUUUUAUUUAGAUGUACGAUAUCAUUUCUGUUCAGUGUACAAAUAUCUGACGAUUUUAAAGCGAUUUAUGCAGGUAGAUGAGUUAAGAGCUGGCGAGAGAACUGUUGUGUGAAAUUGUGAGGAGAAGGUGUCUUUGGGUCCUGUGCCACAGAUGAUUACUAUUUUUAAUUAUUUUUGUUUGCAUUCUAAAAGCAUAACAUAGCUUUUCCGCCACUGAAAUGCUUUUAUGAUUACUAUUUAUUAUCAUCCAGUAUUUGACACUUAGACCAUUUUCCCCAUUAAAGCUUUAGGUCAUUCAGUGUCAUUGAGAUCAGUGGAAGAAAUGAAUCCCACGAAUGAAUGAAUGAAUGAAUCCCAUGAAUGAAGCUCUUCUUAGCUUAAAACAAGAAAGGGUUUUAAAUGUUUGGUCUUAAAUCCACGGUGAAAUCUUCAGCGUGUCUCCAGCUGUAGGUUCCUAAAUUCUACUGUUAUUAUAUGUCAAGGCUGUUACUGCUGUUGUCACAGCUUUGGUUGAGUGACUUUAACUCUUAAACUCUGUCCAUGGUUUGAUGUGAUAUCCUAGCUGGAACUGGGAACUUACAAGCUUCCCUGUGCUUGUCUUGGCUGAAGUGUUGAACUCUGCUUUUUGUGACCUUGAAUGCAUGAGGUUAAAGUUAGGAGGACUCACCUGUAUUUUUAAGGAAGCUGUACUGAUAUUGUUUUUACUUUAGUAUUUCAUUCAUUUCACUCUGGUGAAUUGUUCACGGAAACAGAAAGGGUUCCUGCUAAAUUGUGGUUUGAACACAGAAUGCAGAACUGUCUAGAUAUGCCCCGUGACAUAGCUGGAGGUUUUCAUAGGUGUCUUGUAUUAAAAUGCAGUGGGGAAGCAGAAGGAUAUAUUCUGUCUCUGUUUCUUGAUUAAGCAGUGAGACUUUACUGGAGAUCAGCUGAUGUGUAAGAGAAUUCCAACCUCGGCAGACUAACAGGUGAUGUUACUUCAAUUUUAGGUCCUUAACUUUUUUCUUUUUGUGAAAGGAAUGUGAAGUUCAUUGUGUCACAUUAAAAUUGAGUGAGAAUGAGGAAAAUCAAGGGAACUAUUUAGCAAAUGAAGUCUAUGUAUUUGAUCCACAAUAAAAUUGUGUUCCUUCAUUGUUUUGACACUGUUGUGGUUUGAGUAAAACCCUGACAAUCUUGUUUUCACUGAAGAAGUUACUUUCUGCUGGAGACUGACAAAACAGUAGAACAGUAUUCAGCCUAUUUAGUAAAAUACAAAACUUCUUGUGAUUAGUCUUCAUUUUGAAAAUUGAUGUGUAGUCCAGUUCACCUGUCUUCCGCUUGGCCUUAUAGUGAUAUGACAAGGGGGAAUGGUUUUAAACUGAGACAGGAGAGGUUUAGGCUAGAUACUAGGAGGAAGUGCUUCACACCGAGGGUGGUGACGCACUGGAACAGGUUGCCCGAGGAGGUUGUGG
ensembl:lncRNA